GUCUUCGUCAUUUCCCUCAUUGCAGGGACAAAAUACCUGAUGUCCACAAUUUAAGGGAGGAGAGGUUUAUUUUGGUUGACUUUUCUGUCCAUUGUUGACUGGCUCCAAGACAGGAGAACAUGGUCUGGGGGAGGAGAGCUUCUCAAGGCACGGCGACCAGGAAGCAGAGAGCGAGGGGAGGUAAACGCUUCCCUGUCAGGGCUGCAGUGACCCCUCUUCCUGUGGAGACCAAACUGACUCCAUUUUGCUGACUCUAUUUUGCGAUCAGGUCACUGCCCAGUUACUGGAAAAGCCCCAACAUGUUCUUUUACCCAGUUCUCAGAAAAACCCAUGACUGUUCCUGUAAGUUGUCACCAGAGGCUCUCUUUCGUUAAUCUUACAAAAGCGUGUGGUUAGGAUAAGGAGGGACAUCUGGCCUAGGCCAAUCAAGCAUUGAGAAAACACACUUUCAAAACGCUAACCAAUGAAGCAUUGACCCGUUUAGAAAGCCCCUAGUUCUGCUUCUCUGCUAAUAAAAAGGCUGUUUGAAACCGGGCUCGGGGCUCUCGUUUCUGAACCGCUGUGUGGGUGAGAUCCGAGGGUCCAGUCUCCAGCUUACUCCUCGUGUGAUUGCAUCGGGCUCGACUCCUUGGUGGUCUUCGGGGACAUCGCGAUCGGGGCACAACAUUCCCACCACACCCCACCUCCUAAAGUUUUGCAAGCUUAUUUCCAUGGGAAAGUUUGUUACUUUUAUAUUCCUGCAUCUUACACAUAAAACCUUUUCCACACGGCCCGUGUCCUGAAGAACUCUGGUAUUUUAUCUAAAUUGCUCAGAAUCAGAAUUUCUAUUUGGAGAGGCUCUCCACAGGAUACUCCAGCUGCCUCAUCCUUGGCCCUGUGACAGUGUCUCCCGGGGCAACACCUUGCUGUUUGAUGACGAGACACAUGACACACAGGUUUGUGUUUGCUGCUGUUUUGUUUAUUUUUAGUUGACAAAGUUGCAUAUAUUUCUGGUGUACAACUUGAGGUUUGGUUAGCAAACUAGUGGCAUAAAGCUAUUGCUGGAAGUAAUACACGAGCACUGCUCCCUGUUCCUGGGCGGACUUUGGGGCGAUGCUCUGGCUGAGCAGAGUCAGACAGAAAGGUGUGUGUACCUGAAAGUAGGAGAAGAAGAGGACCAUGGGGAGGGGGAAGUUAAUGGCAUGGGUGGGAGUCAGAGGAUGCCAUAGUCAUGUACUAAUAUGCCAGAACGAAACCCGCUGUUCUGCAUAACUAAUUAAGAAAUAUAUGUAUCCUGUAUGUCUAUGUUUAUGUUUAUGAAGUACAGGCACAGCUCACCAGUGGCGCA
rnacentral:lncRNA from 1 species